ACGCACACAGCCCCGGCCGCGUGGACCUGGGAGGCUCCAGUGACGCCAACGAGGCCACCUCCUUUGACGGCACCUUCACCGUGCCCUGCAGCGCCCAGGGUGAGUCCCAGCGGGGUGGUGCGGGAGGUGAUUGCUGGAUGCGUGUGCGUUUGCGUAUGCGGGGGGGGGGGGUAGCCAUCCAUGGGAUGGUGUGUAUCAAAUAUGAAGUGAAGUGCCGACGUCCAGAGGUACAGCGGGCACACGCGACGCACUCCAUACCGUUGUUUCGCCAGCGGCAGGCUGCUGGCUCCCCCGUGUUUCCGUGGCGGCUAACGCUAAAAACUAAGUUCCUAUUGAAAGCAAGUAGUCUGGAGUAGUAGUGGUGAUAAGUAAGGCUCGUUGGUAAAGAAGCUGAGUGCAUGCGUCGAGGUGGCUAGCUUAGCUGCUGCGGCGCGAAACCGGGACCCCGCGAACUCACCUAAUCGCUCAGCAAUGCAAGCCACGCCAGAGCCGCGCGCGGGGGGGCAGAGCGGGGCCGGCGUGCCCGUUUGCCCCGCAUCCCUGUGAUUGAUCUUACCUUCCA
rnacentral:lncRNA from 1 species